rnacentral:rRNA from 1 species
AUUGAACGCUGGCGGCAUGCCUUACACAUGCAAGUCGAACGGCAGCACGGGGGCAACCCUGGUGGCGAGUGGCGGACGGGUGAGUAAAGCAUCGGAACGUAUCCUGGAGUGGGGGGAUAACGUAGCGAAAGUUACGCUAAUACCGCAUAUUCUGUGAGCAGGAAAGCAGGGGAUCGCAAGACCUUGCGCUCUGGGAGCGGCCGAUGUCGGAUUAGCUAGUUGGUGGGGUAAAGGCCUACCAAGGCGACGAUCUGUAGCUGGUCUGAGAGGACGACCAGCCACACUGGAACUGAGACACGGUCCAGACUCCUACGGGAGGCAGCAGUGGGGAAUUUUGGACAAUGGGCGCAAGCCUGAUCCAGCCAUUCCGCGUGCAGGAUGAAGGCCUCGGUUGUAACUAGCUUUUGUACGGUAACGAAACGGUACUGCCCUAAUACGGCGGGCUAAGUGACGGUACCGUAAGAAUAAG